ensembl:lncRNA
CCCAGGAGAGGCAUUUGCUUAUCUCUCCACACAGAACACCCAGAGUCUUCAGAGGGGUCAGCGUGUGGUGGGAAGGGGUUCAGGAGGCUUAGCUUCCUUUAGAGAGUUCACCCGGCUUGUCUGGGGAAGAAGAGGCGAGCUGGCUACCGGUGUGGUUAUUCUUCUCAUUAAUAUGGCUUUGCUUCCCCCCAAACACUUCCUUGUGUUCAGGGUCAGCCCCUCUUCCCAGAAGCGAUGCCUCGUCUUCUCCUCCCCGAUCCCAUCUCCCCUCCAUACAAGGUCUCAACCAAGCAGAUGAGAACGAAAGAUUUAUUUUGUAAAACUCGGGGACUUCCCUGGUGGCUCAGUGCAAAAAGACAACAGAAGGAUACAUCUGGAAGUCUCUCCUGUCACUAGAGGGGCACACAAGUGGCCAGAGAGAGCCUCUUUUUCAUGGAACGUUCCAGGUCAACCCUCGCCUCACCUUCUCUCCCAGCUGGGAGUUACGAGCGCAGUCUUUCCCAGUUGACUCCUUUCUGCCAGGAAGGAGACUAGAGGAUUCUUCCUGGGGACCUGGCACAAGAGAAAGUCCUACUGAUGCAGAUGUUCGGUUUCCACAGAGAAAGGCACAGCAGAGGUCCUCAGCGUUGGAAAGUUGUAAGAGGAUGUUGUACAUCUAAGUGAUAGGAAGCCUUGGGAGAGAUUUCUCCAGGAGUAUGAAACUGAUAAAAUACCUGGAACCUGGUCACAAGAGGAGGAGAUCCCCCAGCAGGGAACACAUCUGUCCUGUUGGUUUGGAGCCCACGGUCACAUCCCUUGGAUAUAGUUAUAAGC